UAAAGCAACACAACACAGUGAGGAAGAAAAGCAGCAAGUUAAAUAAGACCUGCAGAGAGAAGCAGGUGACCCAGGAGACUGGAUACAGAGAUUUUUGUGUCUAGAAGACUGCUCCAGAGGAAGAGCAGACAACAAGCCGCGGGUACCCAGGGGCUCAGUGCACGGCUCUGUAAACACAA